GGACGAGGGUUCGAUUCCCUCCGACUCCACCA
rnacentral:tmRNA from 1 species